rnacentral:lncRNA from 1 species
CUUAACAAUGUUCACAUUAACAUGGGUCGGUUUGCUUUAGAAAAAUGGUAUAAUUAAGGUGGCUUGAUGGUAAGUUAGUUCCUAAAUAACUGCACGGAUUAAGAAAUUGAUGAAAUGCAUUUAAAAGAUGGGUGAGAGAGAUCAGUUUCCUCUCAGGGUGGCUUAGAAGUAGAACUAGUAAGUUCGGUAGAGGCUGCCAGGGGCACGAUUCCUGAUUCAUCAACUCAAAGAGCAUGCAAAAUCCCAGGACAUUAGAAGAUGGAUCAGAAAGUGUAGUGUUCUUAGGUUUUUCUCCUAGGAGAAGAGCAGGGGAGGUUCUUUUCUGCAGAAAGGAAGAAACAACCUCAGCAAUUUCCAAACGAAAAGGCUGGUGUCCCAGGGAUGAUAAAAAGCAGAGGUUGUGUGUCUGUCAAGCCCACAUGCAGGUCUAGGUGCACUCUGCACCCUGCUCCAGGAACUGGGAAGACUCGAGCAUGGGGAAUGCAGUUGAAACGCAUCUCUGAACCCCGCUCCAGGAACUGGGAAGACUCGAGCAUGGGGAAUGCAGUUGAAACGCAUCUCUGAACCCCUUUUUGAGGAAGAAGAAGGAAACAGAGAAACAGGAAGAGGAGGAGGAGGAAGGGUUCUGAAUGAAGAUUGUGCCAAUUAAAAGGUGCCCUGGUUGGCCACAAAGCCCAGAACUAGAAAUAGAAGGAACACAAUGGAAACACCAGCUGUCGGAAGCUGCAGCAGGACCUCAAGAAUGAUGCUGCAAACAUCUAAUGAGAAAUAGAAAACUUCUUACAAGUCCCAUAACUAAUGUCGAUGAGACAAUGCUGAAGACGAGCCUGAAUUUAAUAAAUCUUUUAAUAUUUCCACAGCUGGGCCUGCUUACUCGGGGCUGGUGGACCAUUUUCUUAAAUAAGGCAUGGCGCUGGUCUGACAUUAGUUUAACAAGAUCUUCAGAAUGAUAAUUAGUGUCAUCAUUGUCAAGUUCAAGUUCUCCUGACUUGUUGAAAAGCCAAAAAUACAUAUUGUGACAGGGAAGUUCCCAUCAAAGAGUAGUAAGGAGAAUACCAAUUGGGAAAGGACAACUUCAUAAAAAUAAACAAGUAUGGCAUAAUGGUUUGUGAAGCUGAUUCUUCUGGAAUGAAUAAUAAAAGCAAAAUACAUGAAGGCACCCAGUUCUGUAAGCUCCUAAAUUCAAAUACUCCAAUAUGAU